ensembl:lncRNA
CAGUCCUUUAAAACUGCCAUUCCCUCCAGUCUGCUCACAAAGCUCAAUAACCCUGGCAUCAGCACCUCUGUGUAAUUGGAUUUUGGAUUUUCUAAACACCUGACAUUAAUCUGUUACAAUUUUCUCCCUACAUAAGUGAUUGUAUGCCUAUGCACGACUCUAAUGUCAUCAUUAAGCCGAUAGUCAAAGUUGAUUGAGUCCAGAGAUCACACACCGUCUCACAGCUCAGUAGCAGCUCAGUCAGAAGGCCUUGCAACGAGUUGUGAAGUCUGCCCAGUGAAUCCUCAGCACCCGGUUUCCUGUUAUCGAUGCUAUCGGUACGUACAGGGCCUGCAGAGCGCGUGGAGUGUAUCGUCAAGGACACCACUCACCCAAGCAAUGGACCGUUCCCUGCUACCAUCAGCGGCGUGUCCCAGGAGUGAAGGAAGGCCCAUAAUAAAGGCAAAGAAAGAAGACAGAAGUGCAUUGGAGAGAGGGGGAGAAGGUCCUUAAUCAGUCUAACACCACAAGUGGAGCAUGGUUUCAUUUCCGCAGGAAGACGACCUCCUCUUAUUGCCGCCAUGCUAACUGCUGCAGCAGGGAGAGGGAUGCAUAUAUAUAUAAAAUGAGGGCUGGCAAUAUGAGUGCAACUCUCAGCCCGCGUUGACACUAGCCCAAUUAUCCAGGCCUCCCAUUGUCACAGAGACAGGCAUGUUGUAGUGUGUUGGUGCCCGACCAUGCCAGUCUCGCUGUGAGGAACACAACAUCAGAGCCGAACUCAGGAUCUACAGGAUCGCACUGAAGCCUGCUGUGCUUGAUGGUCAAACUAAUCAAUGAAUAUUGACAAUGUCGCUGCGCGUUUCCUACCGAAGAGGAUUGUGGAUCCAUACUACGGCCGUGUUCUUCCUUUUACAUGUUUAAUAAGAUCGAUGUUUCUUAAUAGUAGUGGGCUGUCUUAUGUGUGUUCAGAUACGACUGAUCCUGAAGAAAUGUCUUAGGAAUGACGUGCUUGUUUUGUUUACUCAUUGUAACAUGAUGUCUUCCAUUUUUAAGCACGGCUACAGUAUUAUAAGCCGUGAUUUUACGAGUGUGAUGAGUGCCAGUGUUCAUGCUGUUUUAUAUUAGGUUAAUACUGGGUUUGAGAUCUGAAUAAGUAGUAGAAGUAGGUAUUAAAUCUCAAUUGAAAAAGGGUACAGUUCCACUUUGCUGAUGUGUUCAUGUACAUGAACAGUGAAGUUAAUGGCUUAUUAAUGUAUCUGGGUGUAAACAGAUGUAAUUGAACAUGUAUCUAAAGAGUAGUUUUCUUUGUGUGUCAUUUUGUAGAGAGGUUGGUUUUGUUGCAACAACAAUAUAUAUAAAAAAAUAAAUAACAGCAGCCAAAAAAAGAGGAAAAAUAAAGAGUUUUACCUGGAGGAUCUCUGACAAAGAUCUUCAAAACUGGUUCAAAGUUUGUCUGAUCGAUGGUCUUUCUCGCUCUCCUCAGUUAGCGAGUCUCCUUAGCGUGGGAUAAUUUUAUGUAUUUAUUUUAAACUGUAAUUUAUAUAGGAUUAAGCAGAUUAAACUAGCUGGGCUUCUUCUCCAAGAUGUAAUACUGAAUUUAUCUCAAAUGCUAUGUUAUCUGGUUUGAGGGGCAGAGUUCUGGUCCGUGGUAAGCACAUAGCAUCAGUAUAUCAUACGUCGGGUCGGCAUAUCGUCAGAAGAAAGUUCUCGUAGCAGGUUUUUGAACAUCGUCCUUUGCAACCGUUAAAUACCUCCAAUUGAAUGACCGUGUAUGCAAAUAAUACAUACAAAUAAACAUGUGCAUAUACAGUAUACAUAUGCUGGUGGUGUUCUCAGAGAAAGAAAGAGGGCACGACUUGCUGUCUUUUGAUUCAG